AUUGAACGCUGGCGGCAGGCCUAACACAUGCAAGUCGAACGAGUGGCGGACGGGUGAGUAAUGUCUGGGACACUGCCCGAUGGAGGGGGAUAACUACUGGAAACGGUAGCUAAUACCGCAUACCAUCGGAUGUGCCCAGAUGGGAUUAGCUAUUAGGUGGGGUAACGGCUCACCUAGGCGACGAUCCCUAGCUGGUCUGAGAGGAUGACCAGCAACACGGGAACUGAGACACGGUCCAGACGCCUACGCGAGGCAGCAGUGGGGAAUAUUGCACAAUGGGCGCAAGCCUGAUGCAGCCAUGCCGCGUGUAUGAAGAAGGCCUUCGGGUUGUAAAGUACUUGCAGCUGGGAGGCGUUACUCGCAGAAGAAGCACCGGCUAACUCCGUGCCAGCCGCCGCGGUAAUAC
rnacentral:rRNA from 1 species